rnacentral:rRNA from 1 species
CGGGGGGGCAAGCGUUGUUCGGAAUUACUGGGCGUAAAGGGCUCGUAGGUGGCCAACUAAGUCAGACGUGAAAUCCCCAGGCUCAACUUGGGAACUGCGUCUGAUACUGGAUGGCUUGAAUUCGGGAGAGGGAUGCAGAAUUCCAGGUGUAGCGGUGAAAUGCGUAGAUAUCUGGAGGAAUACCGGUGGCGAAGGCGGCAUCCUGGACCGAGAUUGACACUGAUGAGCGAAAGCCAGGGGAGCAAACGGGAUUAGAUACCCCGGUAGUCCUGGCCCUAAACGAUGAAUGCUUGGUGUGACGGGUAUCGAUCCCUGUCGUGCCGAAGCUAACGCAUUAAGCAUUCCGCCUGGGGAGUACGGUCGCAAGGCUG